rnacentral:rRNA from 1 species
CCUACGGGAGGCAGCAGUGGGGAAUAUUGGACAAUGGGGGCAACCCUGAUCCAGCCAUGCCGCGUGUGUGAAGAAGGCCUUUUGGUUGUAAAGCACUUUAAGCAGUGAAGAAGACCUAACGGUUAAUACCCGUUAGCGAUGACAUUAGCUGCAGAAUAAGCACCGGCUAACUCUGUGCCAGCAGCCGCGGUAAUACAGAGGGUGCAAGCGUUAAUCGGAAUUACUGGGCGUAAAGCGAGCGUAGGUGGCUUGAUAAGUCAGAUGUGAAAUCCCCGGGCUUAACCUGGGAACUGCAUCUGAAACUGUUAGGCUAGAGUAGGUGAGAGGGAAGUAGAAUUUCAGGUGUAGCGGUGAAAUGCGUAGAGAUCUGAAGGAAUACCGAUGGCGAAGGCAGCUUCCUGGCAUCAUACUGACACUGAGGCUCGAAAGCGUGGGUAGCAAACAGGAUUAGAUACCCUGGUAGUCCACGCCGUAAACGAUGUCUACUAGUCGUUGGGUCCCUUGAGGACUUAGUGACGCAGCUAACGCAAUAAGUAGACCGCCUGGGGAGUACGGCCGCAAGGUUAAAACUCAAAUGAAUUGACGG